UACGUAGGGGGCUAGCGUUGUCCGGAAUCAUUGGGCGUAAAGCGCGUGUAGGCGGCCCGGUAAGUCCGCUGUGAAAGUCGGGGGCUCAACCCUCGAAAGCCGGUGGAUACUGUCGGGCUCGAGUACGGGAGAGGCGAGUGGAAUUCCUGGUGUAGCGGUGAAAUGCGCAGAUAUCAGGAGGAACACCGAUUGCGAAGGCAGCUCGCUGGAACGUUACUGACGCUGAGGCACGAAAGCGUGGGGAGCAAACAGG
rnacentral:rRNA from 1 species